rnacentral:rRNA from 1 species
UACGUAGGUGGCAAGCGUUGUCCGGAAUUACUGGGCGUAAAGCGCGCGUAGGCGGCUUUGUAAGUUAGAGGUGAAAGCCCGGGGCUCAACCCCGGAAUUGCCUUUAAGACUGCAUCGCUUGAAUCCGGGAGAGGUGAGUGGAAUUCCGAGUGUAGAGGUGAAAUUCGUAGAUAUUCGGAAGAACACCAGUGGCGAAGGCGGCUCACUGGACCGGCAUUGACGCUGAGGUGCGAAAGCGUGGGGAGCAAACAGG